UACGGAGGUGGCAAGCGUUGUUCGGAAUUGCUGGGCGUAAAGGGCGCGUAGGCGGCGAAGCAAGUCAGAUGUGAAAGCCCCGGGCUUAACUCGGGAAUUGCAUCUGAAACUGUUUUGCUUGAGUCCUGGAGGGGGUAGUGGAAUUCCCAGUGUAGCGGUGAAAUGCGUAGAUAUUGGGAGGAACACCUGCGGCGAAGGCGGCUACCUGGACAGUGACUGACGCUGAUGCGCGAAAGCUAGGGGAG
rnacentral:rRNA from 1 species